ensembl:piRNA 21ur-2377 ncRNA
UACUAUCGCUUGAAUUUAGAA